CAGGAGGAAGAAGAAAAGGCUACCCGACAUAAGAGGAAGAAAAAAACAGCAGGGAGAAAAACAAACGGGGAAUUCUCUCUCUCUCUCUCUCUCUCUCUCUCUCUCUCUCUCUCCUCAUUGAUUUUCAGUAAUUCAAUCUCAAAUCCAUCUGCAAUCUCUGUAAUCUCUCUUUCAUUUCCCCUCUGUUUUUUCUUAAUUUCAGGAGUGGAGCUGCUUGUUUUUAUUAUCUUUUGGUUUCAUUUUCUUCCAAAAGAUCUGAUUAUUGUAGGAUUUUGGAGAUGGGUUUUUGAAAAUUUUUAUUAUUGGAGGUGGGUUUUUGAUAUUUCUGCAGGUUGCGCUUCCUAGAGACCAUUUCAGGAUUGAAACUGCUUGCUUCUAUGGAUUUUCUGAUCUCUUUUGCAUCCAAAACAUCUGUUUUUUGUAGGAUUUUGGAGGUGGGUUUUUGAAAUUUUGUGUGAUUGGAUGUGGGAUUUUGAUAUUUAUGCAGACUAGGCUUCAUAGAGACCAUUUCAGGAUUGAGAUUGCUUGCUUCUUCGGAUUUUCUGGUCUCUUUUUCAUCCAAAAGAUAUGUUUUUGUAGGAUUUUGGAGGUGGGUUUUUUGUAAUUUUAUUAAUUUCCUCGAGACGGAUUGAAAUUCCUAUUGUUUUUUAAAUUAUCUGAUCUCCUUUUUCCAAAAUAUCUUAUUUUUGUAGGUUUUUGGAGGUGUAAUUGUUUAUUUUCCUUGAGUCGGUAUCAAAUUUCAAUUGAAACUCUCUCUCUCUCUCUCUCUCUCUCUCUCUCUCUCUCAUCUGCCCAUCAUUUCAUCCAAAAGAUCUGAUUUUUGUAGGUUUUUUUAGGUUGGUUUUGUAGUUUCUACAUAUUUUUACAGAUAGAAACCGCUUGUCUUUUAUCAUUUGGUCUCAUUUUCUCUCAAAAGAUUCGAUUUUUGUAGGUUCCGGAGUUGGGUUUUGUGAAUAAUUGCAGAUUUGUCUUCCUUGAAAUCAAAUUCGUAAGAAGAAGAAUAAAAGAUGGGUAUUAAUGCAAAGGGUAUUGUGAUUAAUAUCGGAAAAGUUGUGAUUUUUACCGUUAGAACGUGUUUUAGAUCCGUUUACAAUCAUCCAUUUGUUCUGGUUAUCGCGAUUAUCUCUCUUCUACUGUAUAGAUUUCUCCCGUCUGUGUUUGGUUUGUUCAUUUCGUCAUCCCCUGUCAUUGUCUGCACUGCUGUGCUUCUUGGAAUCCUAUUGAGUUUCGGUCAGCCGAAUGUACUCAAAAUCGAAGAAGAGGUGGAGAAGACGUCUCGAGGGAUGUCUUCAUUGAAAGCUGAGGGUGUUGAUGAUGAUCUUGUUGUUAAGAAAGGUGGGAAUUUUGCCUUUGGAGCUGAUCUAAUGAGGAGAAGAGGGGUUGGUGAGAAGAAGAAUAAGGAGGCUGGCCCUGUUGGAGGAGGGGAGGCCGUUCGUUCGACGGGCCUACAUGUGGGGGAGGGGAAAGGUGUGGCUUUGGUUGGUGAGAAGAAAGUGGUUGGAGAGGGAGAACAUCAUGAUAGGGGAUUCACUGCGAAGAGUGGAACUGGUGAAGGUCGUCCUGUCAAUGAUCGAAGGAAGGAGAGAGACUACCUGAAAACAAAGAUCGAUAAGACUUCUGGUGGAAUUCCAGAUACCCAUUUGGUAGAUGAUGGUGCCUCUUCCGAUUCUGGCUCUGAUAGUUCUUCUUCGCCCGAUGCUUCUAUCACCGACAUUGCACCGAUGAUCGACGAGCUUGACCCACUCCUAGAUGCUGAACCUCAUAAGCGGCCCACUCUUGCAUCCCGACGUGACUCUGGCACUGCUUCUCGAGGUUCCUCUCCAAGCCAGGAAUCCAGUGACAGCAGUCAUGAGGCGGUGGACAAUGCUGAAAACCAGGACGAAGAAGAAGAAGAGGUAGAAGAGGAAGAAGAAGAAGCACAAGAGGAGGAUCGAGAGGACGGGACGGCAGCUGUGGUCAAGUGGACAGAAGAUGAUGAGAAGAAUCUCAUCGAUGUUGGGACUUCUGAGCUGGAAAGGAAUCAACGCUUGGAGAAUCUGAUAGCAAGAAGAAUCGCGAGGAAGACACAAAGAGCCAUGGCCGAGAGGAAUCUGAUCGACUUAGACGGCAAUGACAAUGCACCAGCAAGCACACCAAUCGGCAACCAGUUCUCUAACAUGCAAAUUCAAGUCCCACAGGUUUCAACAAGACACAACCCUUUCGAUCUCCCCUACAAUCUAUACGAAAUUGCUGGCUUGCCGCCAAUUCCCGGAUCAGCACCUCCAGUUCUUGCGCCGAGAAGGAAUCCGUUCGAUAUUCCCAACAGCCAGCCUGAUGGAAGUGGGAACCUUGAGGCCGGGAAUUCAAGCCAAAAUGAUUUCGUAUCAAUCCCACAGCGUGAUAUGUUCUUCCGGAGGUUCGAAAGCUUUACUUUGGGAGCAUCUUUCCCAAUGGAAAGCAGGCAAGAGAGGCAGCCUGUCUUUGUAGUAGAGCGAACUGUGUUGGGGGAGGCCAGCCUCCCCACUUUUGAAAGGCAAUUGAGUGAAGCGAGUGAUUCUAAGGAGAGCUCCAUUUCUGAUACUGAUUCGGCUUCUUCUGUCGUCGAUCAGGAAGAUCAAGAAGAGCUGCUUGAACAAGAACCAAAUCGAGAAGUUCAAUCAGCUUCUCACACCAAACGGGAGGUGAAUGAAUCUUCCGAAGAAGCAAACUCACUGGAGAUCAAGCAAGAUCAAAGCGAUAUUGGCAUUGGUGGGGUGCACAAGAUCGAUUCAAAUGCUUCCGAUUCUGAGUCCAGCUCCUCAUCAUCACUGCAAUCCGAUGAUGAGAAGAUUUUCAAAGCAAAUCCUGAUGAAGGAUUGGCCAGCCUGGAGCCAAUAGGGGGAGAUGAUUUUUCAAAGGCGCCAAUCAGAGCCAUGCGAUUAGUUCAUGAGGGGGUGGAGGGAGUUGAUGAUGGCCCGGUUGAGGAACCAGUUUAUGAUUCCAGUCCAUCGGCAGCUGCGAAAUCCAUCUCUACUAUGUCGGGUGAAGAAGAUUUGUUCUAUGUGGAUAAGGGGAUUGAUGAAUCGACGUCUGCAGCAUCCGAUAAGCAAAUUGAGCCAGGAGAUGGAAUUGCAGGAAAAGGAAUCCCACCCGCUAACGAAGAGUUGUGGGUGGCAUCGUCGAGCUUAUCUGUCGUCGAUCGGGUUGAAUCUAGAUCGGAGGGAGUUCCUGGAAUUAGUGAGGCUGAUGUUAUCCAAGCUGUUCUCGAGUCUUCAUCAGAGACCAAACCGAUGGAGAUCCAUGUCAUGGGUCCCAAACACAAUGCAGAUCGGAAGAUGGGAUCCCCAGAUUCACAGAAAUUGGAUAUCUUGAUCAAGGAAUCGGCAGGUGGGCCAUCUUCUGAGGGUGAUCACAAAGAAUCCCAGAGGAAGCAUUCUGAUGAAACCAACCACGAUAUUGUAGAAACAAAGGAAAUCACAGAAUCAUUGACUGCUUCAGAGAAGAAUGUUGAGAAUAAAUCUACUGUGGAAGUGAUUGAUUCGAAUGCGGGCGGCAUCGAUGAGCAUUUAAAUGAUUUGGAGGAAGCAAAAGAGAGUGUAGGAAUGAAAGAGAUUGAUGAGGGGUCACGUGCUAAAUCAGCUUUAAAUCAAAUCAAUGAAGGAGAAGUUGAGAAAUUGGUCCUGCUUGAGUCGAUUGAUGAGAAGCCAAUGUUGCCAGAUACUGAAAUGGGGCCCGCCGGAAUUGAACUAGCUUCCGAUCUCCGAGAUGGGUCUUCAGGAUCCGCACCGGAUAAGCAAAAUUCUGAGUCACCAGCCAAGAUUCAUUCUGAUAUGCAAGUUCUUGAAGGGAGAUCGCUUGAAGACAUACACUCAGCUUUGAAGCAGCCAAAACCAGUGGAGUCUGAUGGUGGGCCUGUCGACAAUGAGGCGAGCGAAAAACAUAUAGAGCCGCACCUUCUCACAUGAUCUGCGGAGGAGAUCGAGGCAGCUGUUAAGCCAUCCAUGGUGAAUACAGAAGGAAUAAGUGCUGAAAAAUGAAAAUGCAAAGAAAGGAGUAGAGGAAAUAUCCGGCAAUUUGAACUUGCAAGAAAGCAAAAUUGGCUUUCUCAGUGCUUAGGAAAUUCAAGUGAGAGAUUGGAGGGGUGAUUUGCAGUUCACAUAUGAAUGUGGUCCACUUGUGGGGGGGGGAUCCUGGCCACUCAUCAGGAUUUUUUCAAAAAAAUCUGGCCAUGUACUGAUUGUAUGCUGGUCUUGGAUGAACGACAUGAACUUAAAAAGAACAGCUCUAGGGUAACUCGAGCUAGGUACCUGCGGGGGUAAUUUCGCAAAACAACAGCCAUGUGGGUGGAACUUUUAUGAGAUCCACCCGUCCAUCAGGUACUCUGCUUCAUUUUAACCAUUGAAUCCAAAAUCAUGAUAAUCUAACCCUCAGGUAGGCCACACCACAGGAAAUAGUUGGGAUGGAAUGCCUACCAUUAGUUUUGUGUAGGGCCCACUGUGGUGUUUAUAUGCCAUCCAAUCUAUUCAUCUGAUGUGCCUCGUUGGGAUGGAAGAAUUACCUAAAAAUCAGUAUUCCAAAACUCAGGUGGGACACACCAUGUGAAUUUAGAGGUUUUAUGUUUUUUUGUGUGUGUGUGGAGUGGCCCACAUGAGGGUUGCAUUGUCUUGGUUUCUUGGAUCAAGGACCAAAAAACAAGGGUGAUGUGCCAGAUGGACGGCAUGGAUUUCAUUCACAUUAAGUCGUUUCUCCCAUGUUAGUGAAAGUAAUCCCUGUAGAUACCCAGCGCAAGGUACCCAAGUGUUUUCCCCCUGAAAAAUAUGAUCAACGGUCUAUAUUCAAUCUACACAUUGCGACCACCUGAUGAGUGGGACCGGCUUCUUCUUCGGACCAGGGCAUGAUGUGCUGAUGAGUGGCCCAUUUCUCACACAUUUGUGGUGGGUACAUCAAUCUCUCCUCCCAUUCUCAUUUCUUGAUUUGGGUGUGUAAAAGAGUGAGUUCUUUUGGGUUGUGUUUGGAUGCACCAUUGAAUUGAAUUGCAAUAACUGGGCUAAUAAAAUGGUAAUUACCAGAUUGAUGUGAUUUCAUCCCAUUGGCAAUCAUAUCAACGGGCCAGAUUCCAAAUUGCAAUUAAGUUACUUUCAGUUAGGACUCAAAACAUCACCACCUUUGUUCAUUUCCUAUUCAUUAACUUGAUUUUCGCAAUCCAAUUCACUUGUGCAUCCAAAGGCAGCCUUCUGUGGAUUGGAAACUGUUUCAUCAUUUGCAAGUUGUAAACUAUAUUUGUUGGACGCCUGAAAAUGAGUGUGGACAUUUGUGAUCAUAGACCUGAGGAUAUGGACAAUGUAUGCUGGUUUUCAGGUUGUGCAAGUGGGGCCCAU